GCCACUAUAGUCUAGUGGUAGAAUGCCCGGCCCGUUUAGACUCAGGUUUGCCCUUCGACACCGGGAGGCCGCGGGUUCGAUUCCCGCGUCGUGGCG